GACGAACGCUGGCCGCGUGCUUAACACAUGCAAGUCGAACGGAAAGGCCUGCUUUCCCUUGUGGAUUGCGGGUACUCGAGUGGCGAACGGGUGAGUAACACGUGAGUGAUCUGCCCCCAACUUGGGUAUAAGCCUGGGAAACUGGGUCUAAUUCCCGAUAGGACUGCAGGGUGGUGCCUGUGGUGGAAAACGAUUUUCUAGUGGUUGGGGAUGAGCUCGCGGCCUAUCAGCUUGUUGGUGGGGUAAUGGCCUACCAAGGCGGCGACGGGUAGCCGGCCUGAGAGGGUGGACGGCCACAUUGGGACUGAGAUACGGCCCAGACUCCUACGGGAGGCAGCAGUGGGGAAUAUUGCACAAUGGGCGGAAGCCUGAUGCAGCGACGCCGCGUGGGGGAUGACGGCCUUCGGGUUGUAAACUCCUUUCGACCGCGAGGAAGCCACCUGGUUGGAAGGGUGGUGACGGUAGUGGUAGAAGAAGCACCGGCUAACUACGUG
rnacentral:rRNA from 1 species